GUAACAAUUUUUAGCAAGUUUGGGUAAAGUUUGCCCCUCCGAAAGCGGAAUUGUUAGUGUGGCUAGCAUGCGAAGGUCGCUUAUGCACUAAGCAAUGGCUCUAUUCUAUUAACGUCGUCCCUCCAUCUGAAAUUUGGUGCCCAAUUUGCUUGUCAGAGCCUGAAUAUUUACCUCACAUGCUUCUUCACUAUUCUCAGUCUUAGCAAAUUUGGAGUUGGUUUUAAAAUGGUUGGGC
rnacentral:misc_RNA from 1 species